CAUUAUUUGUGUAAAGUGGAAGGAUUUACAUAACCGAGACAGAACCAAAGAAGAGAAAUAAACACACUUGCACAAGAAAGCUAUACAUGAAAAAAGAAAAAGUGAUAUAUUUAAACAACUUAAUCAUAC